UCGGGAUAGCUCAGCUGUAGAGCAGAGAU
rnacentral:tRNA from 1 species